UGCAUUCACUACUGUAAAUCGCUCUAGAUAAGAGCGUCUGCUAAAUGACUUAAA
rfam:Salmo salar isolate Sally breed double haploid chromosome ssa24, whole genome shotgun sequence.